rnacentral:misc_RNA from 1 species
GAUGAAGAACGCAGCGAAAUGCGAUAAGUAAUGUGAAUUGCAGAAUUCAGUGAAUCAUCGAAUCUUUGAACGCACAUUGCGCCCCCUGGUAUUCCGGGGGGCAUGCCUGUCCGAGCGUCAUUACAACCCUCAAGCUCAGCUUGGUGUUGGGCCCCGCCGCCCCGGCGGGCCCUAAAGUCAGUGGCAGUGCCGUCCGGCUCCGAGCGUAGUAAUUCUUCUCGCUCUGGAGGUCCGGUCGUGUGCUCGCCAGCAACCCCCAAUUUUUUUCAGGUUGACCUCGGAUCAGGUAGGGAUACCCGCUGAACUUAAGCAUAUCAAUAAGCGGAGGA